GAUUUGUGUUCGAAGUGCCACUAUGAAAUGCCCAGCACAGCCCCAGGACAUCAGUAGAGCAGGAAGGUGGUGGACUUUGCCGACUAGCACUGAGGGAGUGUGUGUUUAAUUUUAGUGCUGCCAAGGGGCUCUUUCUAACUGUGAUUUGGAACGCACCAGUGUCUUCCAGUUUGAUUCCCAACACAGAGUCUGCUGAGAUCUUGUAAAUGUUUAUUCUAGUCUAAUAUGAUACAAACACGGGAACGAUCUGCGAUACACAGUGAAUCACAGCCACAACAAACACCAAGCUUGGCCAGGCUUGAGAAACAAGAACACCACGAGAACCAGUCAGCACAACCUACUGGGGCACGUUUCCUUCGGGGCUUGGUUCUGAAGAAUACACAUCAGCCAGUCAUAUUUAAAAGGUAUUUCUGAGUUCGCUGUCAGGGAAUGGUAAAAAUUUCCUUUGGCCGAUGGGGCGAAGGCACAGAAUCCUGAGGUGCAGUAAAAGUUGGGACACAACCGGCUAGUCUAGUCAGUACAGCGCAGUAACCAGAGAAACUCCAGGGGUUUUGUAAGCAGAUUCCUAGUCAAUGCAUCUGAUGUUUAACCAGCAUUCAACCCUGAAGACCCCCUGGGAACAAGAGGGUCCAUUGUGUGCAUUGCGGGGGCAGCAGACAAAAAGACAAGUUUUUCCAGUUUCCGCAACACUGACUCAAUGAGCCUGAACAAUAAACAAGCAGCACUGGCUACAAACAAGCAGAGCUGGCUGCUCCGGCAGGCUACAGUACUCACCUUGCACUGCGUCUCCCCUGUCCCGACAUGAGGAGACUGCAGGAGCACGCUGAUCUGGGCAGUGCAGGUCCUAGGAGGGACAUGGGGGCUUGGGUGUGUAUGUGUGGGACCAAACGUCUCAUCGUCACAUUUUCACUUUUUUACAAUUGUUUACAAAUGAGUAAUGUAUUUGUGCUUUAAAGGUGAAGUUUGUUUUAGACCAGAAUUAUCAUCAGUGUUGUUGAAGCCUGCUUUUUGCGAGCAUUCACGAUUAAUCAAACAGCCAGCCACACAAGAUAAAGAAUGAAUUUGUCUGA